UCAUUUGAAUUGAUACUUGGUAUUCUCAAUCAGCAUCAUGCUCGUGUUUAUCAUCAACGCACUUUCUUGUCAAUAUUAGUCUUUUGGAAUGUGUGAGUACGUUAAGGUAUACGAGUUGCAAUAAUAAGCCCUGCCUUUUUUUGAAGCACUUGGGUUUGCUAACAUUCGUGCAGCCUAUUAAGAGCACAAGUGAACAGCUGUUUGCUCAAUGCAUUUUUCCCAAAAAUCUGCACAUUCAGCAUCCAAUCAAAAGGGUUUGAGAGCCUAAAGCGGCAAUUGCAUACUUCGACCGAUGAUGAUGAUUAUUUUGUCGAAUUAGGCUUACCAGUGGAAGGUGGAGGUGUGAUUCCAAAACUGAAGACAGAAAAGCCUGAACCUUUUGGUGUAAGCAUUCAAGGCAGUUCCUAAACUCCUUCCCACCCUUCUGUCCCUCUAUGGCAGGUAUGUCUUAGUGGCUGCAUUUAUGUUGGGUGUUUUCCUGUUGACGUCUCUCUACAAAUAAAUUUUCAUGAUUAGCUCUGGUUCCCAAGAUGUCAAAUGUGCUCUGACUUGAGUGUAGUCUAAAAUCUCCAUUUGACGUAGAGAAUCAGUGGUACCAAAAGGAAACCCUAUGUCUCAUUUUCUAAGGCAGACAGCUGCCCUAGCAUGAAGGAUAUAUCACUAGAAGUGGGGAACUCUUCUCUAGUUCCUUCUCUAGACUUUGAGAACUGCAAAGAUGAAGAAUGUACCUUCAAGUUCAGAACUUCACGUUCUGUUAUGAUUAAGAAUGUACCAUCUAUAAUCAAGCUUCUCCAGUUGAAGGAGGCAAUGUCAGUUUUUGGCAAGGUCUCAAAGGCUUCCAAGAGGUCAGUUCCAAAUGGACUUGAUUGUUGUGACAUUGAAGUUAAGAAAUGUGGAAUCAAGAAACACUGCACUAUUAAUUGGCAGUAUAACAUUAAAGAACUUCAGUCUCCCAAUUUCCUUGCAGCACUCGUUAGAAACUGAUACUAUUACAAUUAGCAACAUCAGCUCAGAGACUGCAGAUUCAGCAAUACACUCUACAUGCACAUUAUGUGGUCGUUUGGAGGGGCUGGUGAGGACAAAAGAGGAUUUUGUGGAUGCCAUAUUUAGUGUGAAGGGUGAGACAGACACAAAAAGUAUAAUAAACAAGUAAGAAAUGUUCAGAGCAGCAUAUUGCUUAUGUUGCAUCUUGGUUAGAAGUCAUGCUUAUCUUCAUAAAUUUUGUCAUAUUUGGUUAUAAUCAUGGUCAUGCAUGCCAUGUCACACUUAAGGUAAGGUGGGAGUGGAACAAGUAUGAAGACUUGAGUCAGUUAUCUAACUGAAUUGAAGUUGUUAAUGAGCUUAUUAGCGAUUUUCUUCGUGGCAAUUUUAGUCGUUUAUUGAGCUUUGCUCUUGUUGCUUCUGUCUGUAAAAUAUUCUUCAGAUGAAAAGGAUAGUAUGCAUGCAUGAGAACAAUUUAGAUUGUUUCGGUGGGGAUCGGUAAUUAAAGAGCCCAUA